rnacentral:lncRNA from 1 species
CUCCACCUCCUAUGCGUGGUCAACCACUACCUCCACUUGUGAGUCAGGCUCCUCCUCCACCACCACCUCCUCCAGGCCGUGGAGCCCCUCCACCACCACCUCCUCCUAGACAUGGAGCCCCCCCUCCACCACCACCUCCUCCAGGCCGUGGAGCCCCUUCACCCCCGCCUCCUCCAGGCCGUGGACCGCCUCCACCAGGAGCUCGUGUUCCUGGACCUCCUGCAUCACCAAGACCUCCAUACAGUGCUCC